ACAGGUGGUGCAGUGUUGUCGUCAGCUCGUGUCGUGAGAUGUUGGGUUAAGUCCCGCAACGAGCGCAACCCCUAUUGUUAGUUGCCAUCAUUCAGUUGGGCACUCUAGCGAGACUGCCGGUAAUAAACCGGAGGAAGGUGGGGAUGACGUCAAAUCAUCAUGCCCCUUAUGACCUGGGCUACACACGUGCUACAAUGGUUGGUACAACGAGUUGCGAGUCGGUGACGGCGAGCUAAUCUCUUAAAGCCGAUCUCAGUUCGGAUUGUAGGCUGCAACUCGCCUACAUGAAGUCGGAAUCGCUAGUAAUCGCGGAUCAGCACGCCGCGGUGAAUACGUUCCCGGGCCUU
rnacentral:rRNA from 1 species